GCACUCCAGCCGCAGGAGCGAAGAGGAGCCGAGCUAGAUGCACAUGGGCGUGGGGACUUCCGUACACACCAACCCACAAGGUUAGCAGGUAACUCUCUGGGAUGGUAACUGCGCCCAGGCAUGGAGGGUGGGGUAGCGGGUGGUGUCUCUGACUCCCCCCUCCCCACGCCCAGCCCUUACCCUUCCUCCACUUAUGGGCCUCAUCCCAGUCCUGGGGCGUCCAGCGCAGCCUCAAACCCAGGGCAUCUCCGCACUCUUAUUGCGACACCGCUCUGGAUGCUG
rnacentral:lncRNA from 1 species